AGUGUUGCAUGUUUUCAAGGAACAAAGGCAAUACAUUUCUAUAUAAGAAACUACUGAGAGAAAUUCAAAUUUGUGGCCACCUCUAAUAGCUACAUUUUGCUCACUGGGCUCUCACCCCUGAUUCAAGCAACCACCUUUAUUCCUGGCUCAGAAAUGAACCUGAAUAUUUCUGCAUCAGCCCUUCAUAUAUUGACGUCUUCAGGCAAAGUUCCAAUAAGAAGAAUAGGCACAAUAAAAUGUAACACAAAGAACAAAAAUCUGCACUCUACAAACUGUAUAGUAAAUGACAAAUUGGAGGACAAAACUAAGGAUUGUGACAAAGUCAGCAACUAGAUUCACAUUCAGAACACUAUGACAAUAAAGUCUUUUUCUUGGGUCUUUCCACAGAGAAUUACCAGCAUUAUAUGAUAGUUUGAAACUUUCAAGAUCAUGAAAACAGUAGCUCUCUAUUUUAUUACCUUCAGAGCACUGCCUUGUCUUGUGGCAAAGUGGAAUUCUGCUCUAUUGCCAUAUUUGACAAUUCUCAGACAUAAUAUAUUUAGAGAAUACAUCUAGAGUUAGUAUUGCUAAGUCUGGCUGAGUGAGAUAUGAUUGUAUUUAAUUCCAUCAUGUGACAUUGCUGUAAGUCUAGAUCCACUUUCCUGCUGAUAAUUUAUUGAAGUCAGUGGAUCUAACUACUGAGUACAUAUAUUGGAUUGCAUUUCCCAAAGUGGUUAUUUUGCCACUAAUGUCAGAACCAAAAAGAGCGUAUCAUAAUUUUCCAUUUUCCAUUCAAUUAUUUUACUCAUUAGAAAUACAUAUCUCAUUAUCCUGCCAGAAUGAAGGAUAUUUAAGUCCUAUCAAUUUUAUCAUGAAAGUGAUCUGUGUAAAUCACUCCUAAUGAACUCUGUAGGACCUUGCAAAUCCUUCUCCUUGACUGGAUUGUACCCAGCUGAAUCAAUGAGCACUUGGCAAAAUAAAAGAAAUAAUCACAGUGAAAUGCUGAGUAUAAAGGGCUGCAUUAUUAUUUUGCACAAUCAUUUUUUUUCUGAAGAGAACAGUGAAACAUAAUACUAUUCUUUCAAUAUAUAGUCCAAUGUUUCUCUAUCUGAAGUCACCUUCCAUUAUUCUUACAUGAGCAGGUUAUUUUAAAAUCAUCUCAUGCACUCAGAAAUCAUGUUUUUGAAAAAAAGAAAGAAAGAAAGGAAAUUGAAACUGGCGAGAAAUCAAAUUGUAAAAUGCUGGAUAGGUCAAAGUAGUAGAAGUUGCCAUCCUCUUUCCAAGAUUAUAUGCUAAAGUAUUGCAUAACAUAUAAGAUUUCCCCAACCUUCUUUUUUUUCUCUUAAUAACUUCAAUGCAUCUGCACAAUAUUGCUUUCACAAGUCCUUUUAAAUGAAAUUGCAGAAUCAGACAGAAUUUUCAAAUAUAAUCUCAGCCAAACCAUGCUCUAACGGCUUCAAUGGCCCAAACUUGUAUUUUUUUAGAAUUCCAUGUGCAAAAACGAAGCAGCUGUUAUAAAGAACAGUUUAGCACAAACCAUAUUUUUUUCCAGGAGAACCACCAAAGAGCUGCCAAUUAACUAAGACAGAGAGUACUCUUGUCUGCUUCUGAAGCAGCUACCAUUGCUUCCCUUAAUUAUAAAGCCAGAAGUACAGCAGGGAAUAACACUGCAUUAAAUUUAAAAGUGGCAUCAGCCAACCAUGCAAGUCACUCAACAGACUCCUAGUUUUGCUUUAGAAAAAAGAAAAAGAAAAGAAUACCAUCUGCAUGGAAGUUGAUCUUUGAAAGACCCAGAACUGUAAACUCAUCAACUAGGCAACAUUAAUCACCUUGACUUUGUUUGAAAUGGUGACACUGGAAGAGUCUGAAGUAAGCCUGGAGAGGCAAAAGCUAAGGCUAAGGAAACAAACAAGCUUCACUUCAGCCAUAAUGGCCCAGUGGAAGACAGAGAAAUCUUCUGCACAGAUUGGCAGUCUCCAGGAUAAUGCUUUCAACAAGGAAAUGUUAAACCAGGACCUGUUGCCCUCUUCAAUGAUUUUCUGGAAUUAGAGAAACACCAGCUUACCCUUUCAUAACUAAAAGGAAGUUCAAAUUUGCAUUUCUGAAUACAUUUCUUUAUGUGAGGCUCCAUAGGAUAUUCUGGGAUAUUCUGAUCCAAGGGCUGCAGUUUUCACACUCCCCUUAGUCAAAUAAAUCGGUUUUGUAUUCCAACAUAUCACUUUCUCUAAAAAGUAAAGCAAAGAAAAUCUCUUCCAUUUAUAAACAGAUAUUUAAAGCCUCAACACUCAGUUAUGGUCAAAAAGAAAUUCCAUUAAUAGCUACCAGAAACCACAACACAUAUAUUUUAAUUCUGGUCAGAUAAGUUCAGUUUAUAUUUCUUCUACUGACUUUUAUAAAGUGUAAUCUUUAAUCCCACCAAAUGAUGUCCCACAAGUUGAUUUAUCAUUUUCUAUUUGUCUUCUUUUAGGAAAAACUUCAGUAGUUUAACACAUCCUCUUUGUAAAUCCAAGAUAAGAAGGCUUUCCAAAUCAUUACUCUGAUUUAUUAUUUGUGUGUCCUGUUUAGUUAUUAAGACAGCGGUCAUUCAUAUGUAAAUCCAUUGUGGCAUACUUUUCCAUAUCAUUCUUGUAGUCAGGCAUUCUUAAAUCCAUUUUCAAAUCCAUAGCAUCUUUUUUCCAUUUCAUUCUUGUAGCCUGGCAUUUUUUUUUAAAAAAAAAAAUCCAUUUUCAAAUCCACGUUCAAAUCAGC